rnacentral:rRNA from 1 species
UACAGAGGUCCCGAGCGUUGUUCGGAUUCACUGGGCGUAAAGGGUGCGUAGGUGGCUUGAAAAGUUUGAUGUGAAAGCUCAGGGCUUAGCCCUGAAAUGGCAUUGAAUACUAUCGGGCUGGAGGUUUGGAGGGGGGACUGGAAUUCUUGGUGUAGCAGUGAAAUGCGUAGAUAUCAAGAGGAACACCAGUGGCGAAGGCGGCCUACUGGGUCAGUACUGACGCUGAGCCGCGAAAGCCAGGGGAGCGAACGGG